AAAGAUGUGGUCAUGUCCACCCCCAGUUAGGUCUGGUCCCAGACUUCCUCCUGGUGGAGGCUCAGCCCCUGCUUCUCUUUUGCCAGUGUGUCCCCAGCGGCUUCCUCUUGGGUUUCACUCUCUUGGUCUUUGUUUCUUUGCUUCCAUACCAGACUCUUAUUCAUUAAACAACUAUGUGUUUGAGGACCUAGUGUGUGCUGGGAAGUGUGGACCUAGCAUGUGCUGGGCAGUGUGGCAGGUGCUGAGGGCAGCAGAGAAUGAGACCAGAAGCCUCUGCCUCAUGAAAGAAAGACAACUGGGAAGCAAAGGAGACAGACACGCAGCAGGGUGAUGGCAGGUGGCGGCAACAGAGAAGUCUAGAGUGGAGGCGAGUGCUGCUUGAGUCUUGCAGCAGUCAGAGACGGGGCCUGAGAGAGAGCAUCAGCAUCACACAACCCCAAGAAUCCAUCCAUGACUCCACAGCUGCCAAGGCCCUAACUGAAUCUCUACAACUCACUGGUUAACCUGUUAGCAAAACGCAUUCUGAAAACGGCACUCGUGAUAGUUAAAAAUCAACAAAAAGUGUGGUGAUUGCUGCUGGAGAUAAAAGUAAAGUAAGGCCUGUUAAGUCAUCGGGAA